rnacentral:rRNA from 1 species
GAUGAACGCUGGCGGCGUGCUUAACACAUGCAAGUCGAACGGAAAGGCCCUGCUUUCUUGGGGUUCUCGAGUGGCGAACGGGUGAGUAACACGUGAGUAACCUGCCCUUGACUUUGGGAUAACUUCAGGAAACUGGGGUUAAUACCGUAUAGGAGCUGCUGCAGGAGGGUGGGGGUUGGAUCGUUUGGGCGGUUGGGGAUGGACUCGCGGCUUACCAGCUUGUUGGUGGGGUAGUCGCUUACCCAGGCUUGGACGGGUCGCCGGCAGGAGAGGGUGGACGGCGACAAUAGGACUGCGAGAGGGCCCAGUGUGGAAUGGGAGGCAGCAGUGGGGAGUAUGGCACAAUGGGCGGGAGUCUGAUGCAGCAGCGCCGCGUGCGGGAUGACGGCUUUCGGGUUGUGAACCGCUUUCGCCUAUGACGAAGCGGGUGUGACGGUAAUGGAUGAAGAAGCACCGGCUAACUACGUG